rnacentral:lncRNA from 1 species
GCCAAACCAGCAAGAAGAGAGAGAAAACAAAAACAAAACCCUAGAGAGAGAAAAUCAAAGAAAAAGUGUGAAUUUUCAAGAAAAUUAAGUGAAAAAGGUGAGAUUUUUUCUAUUAAGCUUGAGUUUUCUUAUUCCCAAGCAUUUCUUUUUAUUUUUCAUGAUUAAAUUACAUGUUUUCAUGAUGAAUUGAUGGCUGAUCAAAUGGGUUAGGAGAGAGAAAGUUGUUAGAUUAAUUUGAUUUUAAGUUAUGUUAGUGUUUUAAGUUAGUUUAGCAUAUUUAGAAACAAAAUAACAAGAAAAGAACUUAUUUUCUCCCACAAUCAUUAAUGACCGAAUUUAUCAUGUGUUGAGUGAGGAUAAAUUUGAUUUUAAUUUUAGGAGAAUUGGUUAAGAAAUGAUGAAUUAUGAGCCUAGAAAAAUAAUGGAAAUUUUCGAAGCAAAAAUACGAUUUUUACCCACUAGGGGUAUUUUCGUAAUUUGCUACCGAGACUGAUAAAUUGAAUCUCAUUCAUAGUCAUAGAGGUAAUUUAGUUAUAAUUGGAGUGUAGAAAGUGAGAAGAAUUGAUUUGGAGUUAAAUUGAAGAUAAUAGGCCGAAUUAGGUCAACACCGCAUUUAAGCGGUAGUCGGAUAAGUUGUAUAUCAUAUCAUGCAUAUAUACCGAGCCUGAAUUGAUUUUAUAAUGGUCAAGUAUUGAUGUGGUGAAUUAUGUAUUGUACAUUGUGGAUAGGUGGUGAGCAAAGUACACUGAUAAAAGUACAGAGAUUAUGCUUGGAGACUGGGAUUAGGAGUACAUCGACUCCUAUAACAGUGAGUAAACUUAUUAUCGUCUUAAUUAUCUAGAGUAGUUUUAUACAAUUGUGUGAUUUUAUGAAAAAUGGGUUUAAAUGGUAAAUUACUAUGUUUUAAGAGAAAUUGUAAUUUUAUAAAAUAAUUUUAUAAAUUUUUAAAAAAUUGAAUAUUGGUUUUGAAAAUAGAGUAAUUGGAGACUGCUAGUUUGUGUUGCAAAUUUAUGGUUUUGAAUUGAAUGACUUAUGAUAAUAAAUGAGCAUGAAUGACUAAACUGAUUUUGGUGUUAGAAUUAUUUAUACUGUGUACUCAGCCUUGAGAGGUUAGGUUGCGGUAAAUUGCCAUGUCAUGCUAGAAUGAAUUUUAUUGAUUGGUGGAUUAUAUAUUAAUUAUUUACUGCAGAGGGGGUUCCGUGGACCAGCCUAUUAGAGGGGCACGGUAAACUCUAUUAUAUUAUUACCUCGAACGG